rnacentral:rRNA from 1 species
GAUGAACGCUAGCUACAGGCUUAACACAUGCAAGUCGAACGGGGCGAUUAGAAGCUUGCUUUUAUGAGCCUAGUGGCAAACGGGUGAGUAACGCGUAGGCAACCUGCCUCUAAGAUGGGGACAACAGAGCGAAAGUUCUGCUAAUACCGAAUGUUGUAAGUAACUCGCAUGAGAGACUUACCAAAGAUGGCCUCUACUUGUAAGCUAUCACUUAGAGAUGGGCCUGCGUCUGAUUAGCUAGUUGGUGGGGUAACGGCUCACCAAGGCGACGAUCAGUAGCCGGUCUGAGAGGAUGAACGGCCACAUUGGGACUGAGACACGGCCCAGACUCC